UUGGAAUUUGCCAAAGAAGUGAUCCUAAGCAAGAAGAGGAAAUAAGAGAAAGUUAUGAUCCAACAAGAGUAGAGAGCUUUAGUGGAGAUACUCAAGUAUGAGGAAUUAGGAGCAGCGGUCGGAUGGACGUCGAGGAG